UACAGAGGGUGCAAGCGUUAAUCGGAAUUACUGGGCGUAAAGGGCGCGUAGGUGGAUAAUUGAGUCGGAUGUGAAAGCCCUGGGCUUAACCUAGGACGUGCAUACGAUACUGAUUGUCUAGAGUGAAGUAGAGGGUAGUGGAAUUUCUGGUGUAGCGGUGAAAUGCGUAGAUAUCAGAAAGAACACCGGUGGCGAAGGCGGCUACCUGGACUUUAACUGACACUGAGGCGCGAAAGCGUGGGGAGCAAACAGG
rnacentral:rRNA from 1 species